rnacentral:rRNA from 1 species
UACGAAGGGUGCAAGCGUUACUCGGAAUUACUGGGCGUAAAGGGCGCGUAGGCGGCCUGUUAAGUCGAACGUGAAAUCCCCGGGCUCAACCCGGGAACUGCGUCCGAUACUGGCAGGCUUGAAUCCGGGAGAGGGAUGCGGAAUUCCAGGUGUAGCGGUGAAAUGCGUAGAUAUCUGGAGGAACACCGGUGGCGAAGGCGGCAUCCUGGACCGGCAUUGACGCUGAGGAGCGAAAGCCAGGGGAGCAAAACGGGG